CGAAUUCCGACAGUGAGAGGAACGGCCGGAUACAGGAGACGGGAAGAAACAAGCCGAUUAUGUUCGCGUUAAUUAGGUGGUUGGAAGAUGUAAAAUUCUCAAUUCUGCCAACUGAACAUAUACGAGAUUUUAAUGAGGAUGAAUAAUCAGCCGGCAUGGAGGAAACGGACCUUUAUUUGGUGGAGUGGCGACAAGAAGCCAAAAGACGGGUGGCCGGUCUAUGAAGCCUCCAUCAUCAAGCUAGCAGCCCAUGAAAUCGAACGCAGAUCUUCCUGAUGUGAGCUUUACAUAAAUAUGUCAAAGUCUCAACCUCAUGCUGCCCUCCCCCAUCCUCCUAAACCUGUGGAUACAAAUGCAGAUUUCCUUAAUGUUCAAUGGUGCGUGUUCUUCUAAUGGCCGCCUUCCCACUGGAGGUUUUGAUCCACAGCAAUUUAAAAGGUAAACAGCUUUGAAAGUCAGUUCAAAUGGUUAGCUAAU